rnacentral:misc_RNA from 1 species
UCCGAGUUGUCCCCGGCAGUCCUCUUAGAGUCCCCGGCAUUACCCGCUGGCAACUAAGAGCAGGGGUUGCGCUCGUUGCGGCACUUAAGCCAACACCUCACGGCACGAGCUGACGACAGCCAUGCAGCACCUGUGCUAGCCCCUUACGGACACGGGCUUUCACCCGCUUUAACUAGCAUGUCAAACCCAGGUAAGGUGGGGAUGACGUUACGGUCUUACU